CCCGUACACAAAAGCGCAUGUGCUGUGAGCUCGAUGAGUAGGGCGGGACACGUGGUAUCCUGUCUGAAUAUGGGGGGACCAUCCUCCAAGGCUAAAUACUCCUGACUGACCGAUAGUGAACCAGUACCGUGAGGGAAAGGCGAAAAGAACCCCGGCGAGGGGAGUGAAAAAGAACCUGAAACCGUGUACGUACAAGCAGUGGGAGCACAGGUUUACCUGUGUGACUGCGUACCUUUUGUAUAAUGGGUCAGCGACUUAUAUUCUGUAGCAAGGUUAACCGAAUAGGGGAGCCGGAGGGAAACCGAGUCUUAAUUGGGCGUUAAGUUGCAGGGUAUAGACCCGAAACCCGGUGAUCUAGCCAUGGGCAGGUUGAAGGUUGGGUAACACUAACUGGAGGACCGAACCGACUAAUGUUGAAAAAUUAGCGGAUGACCUGUGGCUGGGGGUGAAAGGCCAAUCAAACCGGGAGAUAGCUGGUUCUCCCCGAAAGCUAUUUAGGUAGCGCCUCGUGAAUUCAUCUCCGGGGGUAGAGCACUGUUUCGGCUAGGGGGCCAUCCCGGCUUACCAACCCGAUGCAAACUGCGAAUACCGGAGAAUGUUAUCACGGGAGACACACGGCGGGUGCUAACGUCCGUCGUGAAGAGGGAAACAACCCAGACCGCCAGCUAAGGUCCCAAAGUCAUGGUUAAGUGGGAAACGAUGUGGGAAGGCCCAGACAGCCAGGAUGUUGGCUUAGAAGCAGCCAUCAUUUAAAGAAAGCGUAAUAGCUCACUGGUCGAGUCGGCCUGCGCGGAAGAUGUAACGGGGCUAAACCAUGCACCGAAGCUGCGGCAGCGACACUGUGUGUUGUUGGGUAGGGGAGCGUUCUGUAAGCCUGUGAAGGUGUGUCGUGAGGCAUGCUGGAGGUAUCAGAAGUGCGAAUGCUGACAUAAGUAACGAUAAAGCGGGUGAAAAGCCCGCUCGCCGGAAGACCAAGGGUUCCUGUCCAACGUUAAUCGGGGCAGGGUGAGUCGACCCCUAAGGCGAGGCCGAAAGGCGUAGUCGAUGGGAAACAGGUUAAUAUUCCUGUACUUGGUGUUACUGCGAAGGGGGGACGGAGAAGGCUAUGUUGGCCGGGCGACGGUUGUCCCGGUUUAAGCGUGUAGGUGUGUGUUCCAGGUAAAUCCGGUUCACUUUAACACUGAGGCGUGAUGACGAGGCACUACGGUGCUGAAGCAACAAAUGCCCUGCUUCCAGGAAAAGCCUCUAAGCAUCAGGUAACAUCAAAUCGUACCCCAAACCGACACAGGUGGUCAGGUAGAGAAUACCAAGGCGCUUGAGAGAACUCGGGUGAAGGAACUAGGCAAAAUGGUGCCGUAACUUCGGGAGAAGGCACGCUGACACGUAGGUGAAGUGAUUUACUCAUGGAGCUGAAGUCAGUCGAAGAUACCAGCUGGCUGCAACUGUUUAUUAAAAACACAGCACUGUGCAAACACGAAAGUGGACGUAUACGGUGUGACGCCUGCCCGGUGCCGGAAGGUUAAUUGAUGGGGUCAGCGCAAGCGAAGCUCCUGAUCGAAGCCCCGGUAAACGGCGGCCGUAACUAUAACGGUCCUAAGGUAGCGAAAUUCCUUGUCGGGUAAGUUCCGACCUGCACGAAUGGCGUAAUGAUGGCCAGGCUGUCUCCACCCGAGACUCAGUGAAAUUGAACUCGCUGUGAAGAUGCAGUGUACCCGCGGCAAGACGGAAAGACCCCGUGAACCUUUACUAUAGCUUGACACUGAACAUUGAGCCUUGAUGUGUAGGAUAGGUGGGAGGCUUUGAAGUGUGGACGCCAGUCUGCAUGGAGCCGACCUUGAAAUACCACCCUUUAAUGUUUGAUGUUCUAACGUGGACCCGUAAUCCGGGUUGCGGACAGUGUCUGGUGGGUAGUUUGACUGGGGCGGUCUCCUCCUAAAGAGUAACGGAGGAGCACGAAGGUUGGCUAAUCCUGGUCGGACAUCAGGAGGUUAGUGCAAUGGCAUAAGCCAGCUUGACUGCGAGCGUGACGGCGCGAGCAGGUGCGAAAGCAGGUCAUAGUGAUCCGGUGGUUCUGAAUGGAAGGGCCAUCGCUCAACGGAUAAAAAGGUACUCCGGGGAUAACAGGCUGAUACCGCCCAAGAGUUCAUAUCGACGGCGGUGUUUGGCACCUCGAUGUCGGCUCAUCACAUCCUGGGGCUGAAGUAGGUCCCAAGGGUAUGGCUGUUCGCCAUUUAAAGUGGUACGCGAGCUGGGUUUAGAACGUCGUGAGACAGUUCGGUCCCUAUCUGCCGUGGGCGCUGGAGAACUGAGGGGGGCGUG
rnacentral:rRNA from 1 species